UGGGGAAUAUUGGACAAUGGACCAAGAGUNUGAUCCAGCAAUUCUGUGUGCACGAUGAAGUUUUUCGGAAUGUAAAGUGCUUUCAGUUGGGAAGAAAAAAAUGACGGUACCAACAGAAGAAGUGACGGCUAAAUACGUGCCAGCAGCCGCGGUAAUACGUAUGUCACGAGCGUUAUCCGGAUUUAUUGGGCGUAAAGCGCGUCUAGGUGGUUAUGUAAGUCUGAUGUGAAAAUGCAGGGCUCAACUCUGUAUUGCGUUGGAAACUGUAUAACUAGAGUACUGGAGAGGUAAGCGGAACUACCAAGUGUAGAGGUGAAAUUCGUAGAUAUUUGUAGGAAUGCCGAUGGGGAAGCCAGCUUACUGGACAGGCAGAAACACGGAAAUGCGGAAAGCGUGGGUAGCAAACAGGAUUAGAUACCCUGGUAGUCCAUGCCGUAAACGAUGAUUACUAGGUGUUGGGGGUCGAACCUCAGCGCCCAAGCAAACGCGAUAAGUAAUCCGCCUGGGGAGUACGUACGCAAGUAUG
rnacentral:rRNA from 1 species